rnacentral:rRNA from 1 species
GACGAACGCUGGCGGCGUGCCUAAUACAUGCAAGUUGAGCGCUGAAGGUUGGUACUUGUACCGACUGGAUGAGCAGCGAACGGGUGAGUAACGCGUGGGGAAUCUGCCUUUGAGCGGGGGACAACAUUUGGAAACGAAUGCUAAUACCGCAUAAAAACUUUAAACACAAGUUUUAAGUUUGAAAGAUGCAAUUGCAUCACUCAAAGAUGAUCCCGCGUUGUAUUAGCUAGUUGGUGAGGUAAAGGCUCACCAAGGCGAUGAUACAUAGCCGACCUGAGAGGGUGAUCGGCCACAUUGGGACUGAGACUCGGCCCAAACUCCUACGGGAGGCAGCAGUAGGGAAUCUUCGGACAUGGACGAAAGUCUGACCGAGCAACGCCGCGUGAGUGAAGAAGGUUGUCGGAUCGUAAAACUCUGUUGGUAGAGAAGAACGUUGGUGAGAGUGGAAAGCUCAUCAAGUGACGGUAACUACCCAGAAAGGGACGGCUAACAACGUG